ensembl:ncRNA C10F3.11 ncRNA
UCAGAGGAAAAUUAAAGAAAAAUGUAGAUGGAGCGUCUUGCACAAGCAUUUUGCGUCAAGAGCUCUUCAGGUCAGACUCCUUUAUGAAUAUCAAUCAACCGACAUCAUUUUUUUUGAGAAACUUAUCCAGGUCAGUUGAGG